GUGGGGAAUAUUGGGCAAUGGGGGAAACCCUGACCCAGCGACGCCGCGUGAGGGAAGAAGGCCUUAGGGUCGUAAACCUCUGUUGUGUGGGAAGAAGAGCGUGACGGUACCACACGAGGAAGUCCCGGCUAACUACGUGCCAGCAGCCGCGGUAAUACGUAGGGGACGAGCGUUGUCCGGAUUUACUGGGCGUAAAGGGCGCGUAGGCGGUCAUUUAAGUCAGCUGUGAAAUGGUUUGGCUUAACCGGAUCAUGCGGUUGAAACUGGAUGACUGGAGUGCUGGAUAGGCAAGUGGAAUGCCCAGUGUAGCGGUGAAAUGCGUAGAUAUUGGGAAGAACACCGGUGGCGAAGGCGACUUGCUGGCCAGCAACUGACGCUGAGGCGCGAAAGCCAGGGGAGCAAACGGGAUUAGAUACCCGGGUAGUCC
rnacentral:rRNA from 1 species